AACAGAUAAUCGCACUUUCAUCAGCGGUUUCAUCGGAGAGGGGCGCUAACUGUGGGUGAUUUAUCCUUUCAAGUGUGAAUUGUGAGCACUGGUGAUGUCACUCUUUGAUGUAGAUAGCAGUCAUGCCUCCUCCGAAGCGUUGUCGUCCUCGAGCGAUGAGGGCAUGUUGCCGGAUUGUCCACCUCCACCGCCGACGGCUGCGUAUAGUGCUCAGCCUUCAUUCGCCAGUAGUGGCUCCAUCGCAGGCUACGCCGCUUCAGCGUCCGUUCUGGAGCAGCGCCGCCGCAUUGCAGAGCUGGAUGCUGCUAGGCAGCUCAACCGCGGGGCGCAGUGGCGCAACGAGCUACUUGGCCCGCCCGCAGUUGCCCAAAGGAGCUUCAGCGCUGCUCCGUCCUCCGCACAAACAAAGAGUUCGCCCCCCACCUCCGCCGACGCGGGCAAGUUCGGCAACUCCAUCGCUGCAGCACUGAACCUACGCCGAGAAGAGAAAGAAAAGACGUUGCUGAAGCGCCUGCAGCAGCAGCGCAGAGCUGAGGAGGAGAGCAGCGGCAGUCAGGCAUUGGCGGAGAAGGACAUGGAGGUUGGUGUCUUCGUGACAGCUUCCUACAAGGCACUGCUGCAGCGCAACCUUCGCCCAACGGAAAGGAGCAGCGGUGGUCAGAGCGCGCAGCCCUCCAAGAAGGACAAUGGUACUAACGAUGAAGGUAGCGGCGACGACGAAGGCCCGCUGGCGGCGUACUUGCGGCAGCUCGAGAGCAAACACCAGCCUGCCACCGUUACGAGUGACGCGUCGCCCGCUGCGAGUCGGAUGGCCACCGGCGAUUACUACGAGCGCAUCAUGAAAGCUCCACUGCUGGAGGAGAAAAACGCGUCAGGGACAGCAGUUGCGAUGGCGGGGUCAGCCGGCGACGCUGGCGGUUUGCCAGAGGUGACACCACAAGUAACUCCUUCAGCGGAGGGCAUCGACGCCGUUUCACUUGCUGCGCCGACGCUCAAUGAACUGCAAGGCCUCAUCGAACACACAGCCGUUGGUCCGUCGCCGACGCCAGGAUCGCUGGGUGUGCCGCAGACUGAGGUGGAGAAGGCGAUGGACACCGUGAAGCCUGCUGCUGCUGCUGAAACGGAAGCCGCCGACGUGCACAGCGCCGUGCUGGCACACGCACAACUGCUGUUCGACACGCGCCAAGCAAAGAGUAGCUGCGGCGCGAAUCCCGCUACCCUCGUCGCCGCCGCGCGUCGCUGUGAUGAGCGCAUAGGCGCCUCUCUCUUCGCCUCUUUGUCGUAACCGAGUCGGCGGGGGAAGCGGCGGCGGCCGAGUAUCGCAAGUGCGAGGUUUACGUUUAGUCGCCAGUAUAUUUUCCUCACGCACGUGAAAAUGCCUCUUACGUGCCCAGAACCUACACACGUGCGAGCGCAGACGUGCACCGCGAGCACUCAAGAGAGGGAGCGGUGCACUGGCGCGCACCUUCAGACUGCACAACGAAAUGAGGGAUCGCAGCCCUGCUAUGGCGGCACUCGGUAAGAGCGAUGUGGCCAAGGGCAUUUGUGUGGUAGCCGUCGAACACACUU
rnacentral:misc_RNA from 1 species